UCUAUUUACAUCUGGCUCCCAUGGCCUUACCCGACUCCCUGGCAGUGCCCAGUUCCCUGUGGCAGAAAGAGAUCCCAGCACACACUGGAAAAUGGUCUCAUCUGUGCUGCAUUGUAGAUGAGGGUGCUGGGAAGGCUUCUCCAUCAGCUUGGAUGAAUAAAAUUUUGAAGCCCUUGGAGCCUCCUGCAGAUGUGUCUACAGGGAAGACUUCUCCAGCUUCUCCAGCUGCUACCUUGGAUGCUGCACUCAAGCCCAGCUCCCAUCUCAGGGGUACUCCAACAGGGAAAAUCCAAGAUACAACAGAUAAGAUAUCCCUGGAACCAUCCAAACAGAUGAGGCAAGAGCUGAAGGAACCCCUGCAGACAAGAGAAG